rnacentral:rRNA from 1 species
AUGAUUGGGCGUAAAGAGUCUGUAGGCGGUUUAGAAAGUCUUUUGUGAAAUACUUCAGCUCAACUGAGGCUCCGCAAAAGAAACUUCUAGACUUGAGGAAAGUAGAGGUACAGGGAAUUUCCGGUGGAGCGGUGAAAUGCGUAGAUAUCGGAAGGAACACCAAUAUGGCGAAGGCACUGUACUGGGCUUUUCCUGACGCUCAGAGACGAAAGCUGAAGGAGUGAUUAGGAUUAGAUACCCUAGUAAUUUCAGCCGUAAACGAUGAAAACUCACUGUCGAGCCAAUAUAUGGAGCGGUGGUCAAGCUAACGCGUGAAGUUUUCCGCCUGGGGAUUACGCUUGUAAAAGUGAAACUCAAAGGAAUUGACGGGGACCCGCACAAGCGGUGGAGUAUGUGGUUUGAUUCGAUGCAACGCGAAAAACCUUACCAGGGUUUGAAAUAAUUUCAAAACUUCUUGAAAGAGAAGCCUCCUUCGGGAUGGAAUUACAGGUGGUGCAUGGCUGUCGUCAGCUCGUGUUGUGAAAUGUCAAGUUAAGUCUUGUAACGAGCGCAACCCAUGUCUCUUGUUGCUGUUUACAGUGCUUAAGAGAAACUGCCGAUCAACAUCGGAGGAAGGUGUGGAUGAUGUCAAGUCAGCAUGCCCCUUACAUCCUGGGCUACACACGUACUACAAUGGUCGAGACAAAGGGUCGCUAACCUGCGAAGGUAUGCCAAUCUCAUAAACUCGAUCUCAGUUCGGAUUGUACGCUGCAA